GUCUUGAACCCGUGAUUCUCUGGUAGGGAAGCGUUUCCAGGUCGAAUAGAUAUAAUCGCCUCCAGACCUUUUCACAACCGCAAAAGGUCAUCAGAAUCUCUAUAACCUUUCACAGCCAAGAAACGUAUGAGACUUUGGAUCAUCAUCUUCUAUUGAAAAUGGAAGUGAUGGACUCUUUUUAUAUACCCGAUUGUAGUGUCGAAAAAGCCAGAUAAAUACUUCCUCAGAUCUCCAUAGGCUGUGUUCCCAAAGAGAAGCCUUUGCGCUAAUCUACUACCACUAGAAUAUAUGUAAACCUAUUCACAACACCACGUUAGACCUGUGAACAAAAAUAAAUAAAAACGACAUUUCUCCUAAAAGCUUUACAUGAACA